AACGAACGCUGGCGGCAGGCCUAACACAUGCAAGUCGAGCGGACCCUUCGGGGUUAGCGGCGGACGGGUGAGUAACGCGUGGGAAUAUGCCCUUCUCUACGGAAUAGUCCUGGGAAACUGGGGGUAAUACCGGAUACGCUCUCUGGGGGAAAGAUUUAUCGGGGAAGGAUUAGCGCGAGUUGGAUUAGGUGGUUGGUGGGGUAAUGGCCUACCAAGCCGACGAUCCAUAGCUGGUUUGAGAGGAUGAGCAGCCACACUGGGACUGAGACACGGCCCAGACUCCUACGGGAGGCAGGAGUGGGGAAUCUUAGACAAUGGGGGCAACCCUGAUCUAGCCAUGCCGGGUGAGUGAUGAAGGCCUUAGGGUUGUAAAGCUCUUUCAGCUGGGAAGAUAAUGACGGUACCAGCAGAAGAAGCCCCGGCUAACUCCGUG
rnacentral:rRNA from 1 species